UCUUAUCAAGAUGAAAAGUCGGCAUAUUCUUUACUAAUUAUUUAGAACGGUUUAAGGAGUCAACAUGUUGGGGAUUGUCCUUAUCCUGGUCGUUGGGCAUGCUCUUGCUGUGCCACUUGAUCAGCUCCCAAAGUUCGAUGAGGCGUUCCCGGAAGAGAACCCUGGU